UUAAAACCGUGUUGCACUGCAACCCGGAAUUCUUGCAC
rnacentral:antisense_RNA from 1 species